rnacentral:lncRNA from 1 species
AGGUAUUGGAAAAAUCUGGAUUCAGAAUUUUUUUUCCUCAUUGAACAGAAUAUUUUUUCAUCAAUUUUAGAAUAAGAAUAUUUUUUACACAGAAAUAUUUGCCACUGGUCUUAACUCAAUCAACGAUUCACUCAUAAAUGAAUUACUAAAACACCCUAAACAUUUCAAUCCUUCUUCUUCGUUUGUAAACACACUGCUGCAGCC